rnacentral:lncRNA from 1 species
AUCAGAAAGAAGCGUAACAAAAAGGUUAUGAUUCUGAUAAUGUUGUUUUACAAAAGUUAAGCUUUAAUAAAAGCAUAAAACCCAUAUAUUUGUUACCUACGAAACAUCUACACAUAGAAAAUUCAUCUUCCUCUGCUGAAUAUCCCAGUUUGCUACUCGCCGGUAAAUCUGAAAUUUGAUAGGAGAGAGAUUAGACAUCGGGUUUGUAUUUUU